UACGUAGGGGGCUAGCGUUGUCCGGAAUCAUUGGGCGUAAAGCGCGUGUAGGCGGUCCGGUAAGUCCGCUGUGAAAGUCGGGGGCUCAACCCUCGAAUGCCGGUGGAUACUGUCGGGCUAGAGUGCGGAAGAGGCGAGUGGAAUUCCUGGUGUAGCGGUGAAAUGCGCAGAUAUCAGGAGGAACACCAAUAGCGAAGGCAGCUCGCUGGGACGGUAUUGACGCUAAGGCGCGAAAGCGUGGGGAGCAAACAGG
rnacentral:rRNA from 1 species